rnacentral:rRNA from 1 species
CAGUCGCCGCGGUAAUACGAAGAGUGCAAGCGUUAAUCGGAAUUACUGGGCGUAAAGCGUGCGUAGGCGGUGAGUUAAGUCUGCUGUGAAAUCCCCGGGCUCAACCUGGGAAUGGCAGUGGAUACUGGCUCGCUAGAGUGUGUCAGAGGAUGGUGGAAUUCCCGGUGUAGCGGUGAAAUGCGUAGAGAUCGGGAGGAACAUCGGUGGCGAAGGCGGCCAUCUGGGACAACACUGACGCUGAGGCACGAAAGCGUGGGGAGCAAACAGGAUUAGAGACCCCGGUAGUCCCUGUCUCUUAUAA